rnacentral:rRNA from 1 species
AAAGGAAUAGACGGGGGAGCGCACAACCGGUGGAGCAUGUGGUUUAAUUCGAUACAAAGCGAAAAACCUUACCCAGGAUUGACAUGUACCUGCACGGCCUAUGAAAGUAGGCUUUCUUCGAGAGUGGUACACAGGUGAUGCAUGGCUGUCGUCAGCUCGUGUCGUGAGACGUCCACUUAAGUGUGGUAACGAGCGCAACCCUUGUCGUAUGUUAUACGUGUCAUACGAGACUGCCUGUGCAAUGCACGGGAGGAAGGAGAGGACGAUGUCAAGUCAGCAUGUCCCUUACACCUGGGGCUACACACAUCCUACAAUGGAGCCGACAACAGGUAGCGACGGAGCGAUCCCGAGCCAACCCUCAAACGGCCCCUCAGUUCGGAUUGGAGGCUGCAAUUCGCCUCCAUGAAGCCGGAAUCGGUAGUAAUCGCAAAUCAGCAGGUUGCGGUGAAUACGUUCUCGCUCCUUGUACACACCGCCCGU